rnacentral:tRNA from 1 species
UGGCUCAGUUGGUAGAGCAUGGUGUGUGCAACACCAGGGUUGUGGGUUCGAGUCCCAC